UACAGAGGUGGCAAGCGUUGUUCGGAAUUACUGGGCGUAAAGGGCGCGUAGGCGGCCUUCUAAGUCAGACGUGAAAUCCCUCAGCUUAACUGGGGAACUGCGUCUGAAACUGGCGGGCUUGAGUGCAGGAGAGGAACGCGGAAUUCCAGGUGUAGCGGUGAAAUGACGCAGAUAUCAGGAGGAACACCGGUGGCGAAGGCGGAUCUCUGGGCCGUAACUGACGCUGAGGAGCGAAAGCAUGGGGAGCGAACAGG
rnacentral:rRNA from 1 species